GUCAGGGCGGACCGACGGGAGCAACCGCUGUAGGAGCCGCAGCCGCCAUCUUGCGCCUGUCAGCUUGGGAGCGAGGCGGCGCGCGGGUGAGGUGGGAGAGGGGUUUCUAAAGAUUUCAGCAGGCCGUAGGAUGGAGAGGAACCCCCUUCUUCCUACAGUUUGAGUUCUAUGGUGAUGAUGACUUCUUCGCUGCUGCCCACAAGGAUCUCAGCCAAUUCUGAGGCAGAGAGAAUCAUACUUUGCUAGGGAGCUGUGCUGCUGAACACUGAUGUUUCUUGGGCCAGAUACUGCCACCCUUACUCUUGCUAAGUAACACCUGACUCUGUAAGUAUGCCAGCUGAUGAUGAUAUACUACGCUAGGCCAGGUUUUGCCAUCAGUGUAGCGUUUGGGCCUGACCCUUUAUGCUUCAAGCAAUAAGCUUGGCAUUAUAUAGCCGUAAAGGGUGGUCGCUUUCUUCCAUGUAUAAAACACACCUAUUGAAACACUUUCCAAUCCUUUCUUUUUUACUGUCUCUGAAUUCACUGGUUCAACACAACAGGUACAGAACACACGUCUGAUUGACAAAAAUGCCUGACUGUCCCGAUGUAGCUACAGUGUCAACCAAGUUAACAGUGUUGUUUGUUUGAAAGACUGCCAUCCCUGUACUGUGCUUAGUGUGUGGGGGAAAAAGAAAUGUACCACUUGUUGGAAUCAUACAGGCUAAGCCAUGUCACUUUAUACACAUCUCUUUAAUAAAAGACAGUUGGCCAAAUCCAUCUCUCGUGUAAUUCACUGAAGUCAAGGCAAAUGCACUGGGGUGAAUUUGAACAGUUACAAUGAAAAAUGGUGGAAAUACUCCACUUUUUAUAACUCCAAACUAAAACAAAUACUAUAAAUGCUGCAGGCUGCCUGUCCUAUGAGGGAUUAUAUUGCUUUAAUGGCAGCCAGUCUUUCCAGUUCUAUAUUUGGGUUAUAAUGGCUUCCAGGCUUAUAAUGCCAGUACAACCGCCUGUAGCUUCAACCACCAGGGGUUUAGCCUCCAGGUUUGGUCCUACUAAACGGGCAGCUCAGUACUGGGCUUUUGACAAAUCACCCUCUAAGUCAGGGGUUGGCAACCUUUCAGAAGUGCUGUGCCGAGUCUUCAUUUAUUCACUCUGAUUUAAGGUUUUGCA